UCCGCCCCGCACCUCGCAGGGCCCGGCUCCGAGCGCACCGCACCGCACCGCCGCCCGCGGACCCCGGCCCGUCUCUCGGCGGCGCCCGCGCCACGAGCACGCACACUCACACGCACACUCACACGCGCGCUCACACGCGCGCUCACACGCGCCCGCCCGCCCGCUGCUCGCACACGCCGCGCUCUCCUCGCCCGCCCGGCGCACGCAUCCUAGACACACACGCUGCAGGCGAGACAAGAAAAUGAAAUUUAUUAUUGAUAGAAAAGACUUUAAAGACAAUUUCAAGUUAUUGUUUCUCUCUGGAAAAAGGGGGUCCCCUCCGCACAAUGAAACGCCUUUUGUGCGGCGCGGAACAAUGCCAAACAAGUAUUCUAAUACACAGCCACUUUUUGUUCCUCCCCGACAGUGAAUAGAAAGGAGCAGUUGGUUCUCGAGCAGCUGGGACGCCGCGGAGGGAGGUGGAGCCGGAGUCGCCUCCCCGCGCGCUCCCCUCCGCCCGCGCCCUGCGCCCCGCGCCCGCUGGCCUGGUUUCCGAGGCGCGGACCCCAGGCGGCCACCCUGCACCCUCCGCCGCGCCCCCCCCAAGGCAGUGGUCCUGGAGCCGAGAUCGCCACCACCGGCUUCCGCCGGAGCUGCUCUCCAGUCUUCCCCACCCGCGCUCCUGACACCCGCGUUGUGACCGGGCGCCGCGCCCCACUCUGCCCUUGCGCGUCUUCGCCCGCGGGCUCCCAUUGCGGGGACAGGGCUUGAGCUUUUUGUCUCGCCGAGGGGACACCUUGGCCAGUGGCGCCGCGCCAAGACAGGCCUCCCCCGGAGCAGCGCUGGCUGCCUUUUCUCCUUGUUCCUCUACGACAAUCUCAACUGUCCCCCGACCACUAUCCCCCGAUCACUGACCCUCCCCUAAGAGCCCCGACCAGAGGCAGCUGCUGAGGUGGAGGCGGUUUCUCAGGACAGCGUGGGGACACAGAGCAUCGCAGGGAGAGUGUUUGGAAGUCGCCGAGGGCUCAUCUGUGGCUGGGAAAACUCACUGUCCACAGAGGGACUGGGAAUCGCUGUCGAAGGGGAAAUAAGGCAGGUCUGUAAUCAUGUGGUGAAAGUGAAGAUUCCUUGGAGAAACGUUUAUGGUUUUUCUGGCUGAAUGCCCAGGAAGAGGGACCCUGCAUGCUGGCCACUGUGUGACUGAGCUGUCUGCUGUCCCAGCAGCCCCCGAGGACUGGAAGAAGCUCACAGGACCCACAAUCUCCACAACACAUCUCGAAGUCCAGAGUCAGGAUGAGGAAAAGUGACCAGAUGUAUUGAGAGACCGGAGGUGAGCCCUGUUGUCAAGCGAAAGCUGUCAGUGGAAACCCACCCGGAGAUGGCACAGGGGUCUCACAAGGCAAAGAUUCUUCAGCUGUCUUUUGUAACAUGUUCACAGCACUGAAGGAAACCAUAGUCGUCGUGAGUGAACAGGUGAGCUGGAGAUCUGAGCAAAGGGAAGCCCAUGACACAGAGCUGGCCAAGUCACAGCGCGGCUACAGGCGCGUCAAGGGCAGGUGGUCAAAGAAGGGUUAGUGACUUGAAGACAGCAAAAGGAAUCGGAUCUGAAGCACAGAGGAAAACUGAAGGCCAGGAACCUAUGGGAAACAGUAGCUGCCCAGAUAAAUACAGAGUAGGCGCUGUAAGGAGAAUCAAAUGAUGUCGGGACCGCCUGUUUGCAAGGCAGGUGCUUAUGCCGAUGAGCUAAAUCCCCAGCCCUAGGGACCUAAGUUUUGUUUUGCUUCGUUUUAAAGAACGCAAUAGUUAGAUACUGGCCUAAUUGGAAGAAAAAAGACUUUCACACCCAAACACUUAAUGAAAGUUUAAGCAAAAGUUUAUAAAAUAUAGACAGUAAUACCUAGGUACUUCUGGUAAAAUUUCAGAAAACAAAAAUCUUAAAAUUAGCCAGAAGGAGAAAACACAUAUACAAAGGCAUCAGCUGGACCCUCGUGAAUAAAAGGGGACCCAGAACAACCAAGGGCUGACACUGGUGAAGGCAAAAUGUAGGCAGGAAUCGUGGAGGAAACAGUGUCUUCCAUAAGAGGCUGGAGACAGGGGUGGGUCAGGACCUGGUAGCAGAGGGCAUGGCGCAGCCCUGCGCUGCCCCAGAAAGCCCAAAGGCUGCUGUCAUCAGGCAAGGACUCUAACUAAGGAGCUGCAAGAAAGGCAGAGGGCAGCCGGGAGUGAGCCUGGAGCUCGGGCCCAGCUCGGCUGAGAGGUACCUGCCUGUUUACCACAUAAACCUUUACCACGGAGUUCAGAUGCGCUUGGCCUCGCUGAUUCUGACAAAUAGAGAGUUUAUGUACAAAUGAAGCAAAAAUGGAAACAGAGAACGGAAUCAGAGAUUGCUGGCAUGUCAGUUUCACCCUGGCAAGCGGAAGCUUUGGGGUUAGAAGACUUCCGAACUUCCCAACAGUGAGUUCGAACUGAGUCGAUGCCUUGUGGCUCCCAGCCAAAGUCGAGAUGCGUUGUGGAAUCAGGAUGCUCCUCAGAAGUGCCGGGUGGCCCACUGCACCAUGCCCUGGCUCCUGUGCCCACCUGCCCCCUCAUUCCAAAUCCUCUGAGGCCUGAGACCCGGGAGGGGGUCCAGGGAGGCACCCAGCCUAUUGCAACAAAGGGAGAGUUGCUUGCCACAUAAAUCAAGUGUUACCUUACAUAUUGCUGUCUGACGAUGUCUGAAAUGAUUUCUGUUCACAUGGAUCCAGGGAAAGACCUCAGGACUGAGAGGUAACCUGGCUUUGGAUCUUUACACAUACAGGAAGAUACACCUCCUCUGAGAGCAAAGCCCAACAGGACAGCGACUGCCACCUGGCACCUGCUGAUGCAGAGGGCAGCCUGCCACGUCACUGCCUUUAGGACUUGGGAAAAGAGAUACAUUUGUUAAAAUGGAAUAUUGCAUUAUCUCUGUAGACUGUUUUCAUUCAAAAUUGUUUUACUGUAAAAUACUGCAUGCUUGUAUGGAACACAGUGCAAUAUUUGAUAAUAUGCGCAGUAUACAAUGGUCAAAUCAAGGUAGUUAGCAUUUCUGCCUUCUUAAACAUUUAUCUUCUCUUUCUUUAAGGAAACUCUGAACACUUCCCUUCUCAUUCUGUUUAGAAUGUGCACAAAAAAAAAAAAAAAAAAAAAAAAAAAAAAGAAUGUGCACUAAAUAGCUGUGAACAGUGAUCAUCUCACUGGGUAUGGACUCGGGACGGACUCUUCCCACCCCUGCCUCUGGUGCCCACUGCCCAGCCUCAUUUGUCUCCGCUGGUUCCUGGCCCUCCCUGGGUUUCGGCAACCACUGCUCUGUUCUCUCCUCCUGAAAAUCAUCACUCUCUGUGUGACUCAGCACCUGCAGUGUUUAUCUUUCUGCCCAGCUCCCUUCACUUAACACAGUACCCUCCCAUCUGUCCCAGUUGCCGCAGGUGACGGGAUUUCAUUCUUUGGUGGCUGAAUAACAUUCCUGUUCAGAUCAUCUGCCUAUUUUAAAAUUAGAUGAACAGUUUUCUGAAUGCUGCGAUCUGUGGGUUCCUUGCAUACUGAAGUUUUUAACUCCUUGUAAAUCACAUGUUUGCAAAUAUUUUCUCUGACCCUGCUGGCUGUCUCCCCACCCUGUAGCUGUGCAGAAGCCCCCUAGUUGGUCUUAGUUGGACAGGACCUCAUUUGCCUAUCAUUGCCUGUGCUCCUGGGGUUGUAACCAAAAAGUUGUUGUCUGCAUUGAUGUCUUUGUGUGUUUCCCUGGCGUUUGGUUGGCAGAGUCACAGUUUCAGGCCCCUUUGGUGUUUGGUGGGGGAGGGCUCAAGCGUGAGUUCUCUGCACGUGGAAUCCAGCUCCUCAGCUCCGUUUAUUGGUUUAUUGAAGGCACUUUCCUACCCAGUCCUCUGUCAAAGACCAGCCGGCUCUGGAUGUGUGGGCUUACUUUGGGGCUCUCUAUCCUGUCCCAGAACGGCAGGUGCAGUUUUCACACCAUUACUGAUCUGUUUGGAGUCUUGUUUUGAUGCCCUCAGCUCCAGACUGCUUUGGCUAUUUGGCCUGUUGCAUAUUCCAGGUGUAUUUUACGACUCUCUUCCGUUUCUGUGAAGAGUGUCUUUAAUAUUCAGCGGGGAUUGCGUUACAUCUGAAAACUGUGUGUGGUAGUGUGGACAUUUUAACGGUGAUAAUUUUCCCCGUCCAUGAACAUGGGCUGCUUUUCACUUUCUCAUGCAUGUUUCCUCUAGUUUCAUUUGUCAUUACUUUGUAGUUUUUAGUGUAGAGAUUAUUUUCUUUCUUGGUUAGAUUUAGUUUUAAACAUUAUUAUUUUUGUAGCUAUUAUAAGUGAGUUUGUUUUCUUGUUUUUUCAUCAAGUUCAUUAUUGAUGGAUAAAAUUGCUAUGACUUUUGCCUGUAUGUUGAUUUUGCAUUCUGCAAAUUUUACCGAAUUAACUCAUCCACUCUAACAGUUUUUGGGCAGAUUUUUUUCUGUAUAAAAAUCAUGAUGGUUGCCCCCAAACAGGGGUGAUAUGACUCCCUCCUUUUCAACUUGGAUCCCUUUUAUUUCUUUCUCCUACCUAAUUUCCCCAGUUAAGAUCCCAACACUAUGUUGAAUAGGAGUAAUCACAGCAGACACCCUUGCCCCGCUCCACCUGGAGCAGGAAAUUUGUGCUUUUGGCUGUGAGUCCUCCACCUAAGAGCACUUUAGACUUUAUUUUAUUUUAUUUUUGUCUUUUUUAAAAAAAUCUUUUUGAGACAGGCUCUCACUAUGCAGGUCAGGUUGCCUUGAGCUCACUUUGUAGUCAGGCUGGUCUCGAACUCACAACAAUCCUCCUGCCUCAGCCUCCCGAGUGGGAUUACAGGCAUGCACUGCCAGGCCUGGCUUCACUCUGGACUUUAGAAGAAUGCUUUUGGUUGUCCCUUUGUAUGUGUUGGCUAUGGGAUUAUCAUAUGUAGCUUUUAUUGUGUUGGAGUAAAUUCCUUUUAUACUUCAUUUGUUGGAGUCCUUUUUUCAUGAAAGGAUGUUGAAUUUCACUGAGAGCUUUUUCUGCAUCUGAUGGAAGGAUGAUAGGGUGCUUUCUACUCUAUUGAUGUAAUAUUUUAUAUUUAUUGAUUAACACAUGCUGAUACAUCUUUGCAUUCUCAGGAUAAAUUUCCCCUGGUCACGAUGGAUAAAAUCGUUGGCUGAUUGCUGUUGGAUUCAGUUUACUAGCACUACACUACACUGUUGGGAAUUUUUGCAUCUGUGUUCCAUCACGGAAAUUGGUCUAUAGAUUCUAUUCUCCCCUCUCCUUUGCUUCCCCUUCUUCUUUCUUUUCUGUCGUUUCUUUUUUGAGAGUCUCAAUAUGUUGUAGUCAGGGGGUUUCAAGGAGAACAACUACAUAGAGGACACAGAAUUUAUAACAGUAUUUUAUGAUGGUCACCCACAGUUAAAUACAAAAAAGUGCAGGAAAUCUGUGUGCAACUCUAAAGACCUAGAAAAUCCAGCCGAGAGCCUGGAUCCUGCAGCAAUGUCCUGUAUGAGGCCAGCUGAAGACCUAGAGCCCAUGACAAGGACUCAUGCAAGUCUGUUUCAUGGAUCCUCCCUGGGAGGGCCCAACAGUCAGUGGUGGAAGCGAGAAAGUCUGUGCCAGUGGGAUGAAGAAUCUGUGCCAGUAGAUUGAGGGUUCUAUACUUACGCCAAGAAGCAAGGCUCAAAAUAUGGACCAGGGCUCCCCUGAAAAGUACCACAGCCAUCCUCAGUGACAGUGAGGUCCCAGGCUCCUCUGAUAAUGCGAACAACUGAGUUUAUAUCAGGAAGCCAGUGUGACAGCUCCUCCAGGAGAGCCAGCAGCUCCAAACAACAACAUGAGAGAACCCACAAUGCUACUCUUCCUCCCCAGGUCUCCUUUUAUGCUGGCAACUUUCCUCAGGGGGCCAUCUACACUCAGCACCACGCUGACUCAGUUCAGCUGGAGUAAAGUUGCCCACAAAUUUUGAAUCCAUAAGACACUAUAUUACUCUGGCUGGACUCAAGGAACACUCUUGUCUCAGCCCUCCAAGUACUAGAUAGGCAUGGAGAAGGUGCCUCUGCACUUAGUAUAUUUUUCUUCAAGUGCGCCCUUGUUUGGUAUUUUUAGAGUAAUGCUGGCCUCAGAGGAUGGGUUCAUGAGGGUUUCUUUUUUUCAAAUCUUCGCAGUGAUUUUAGAAAAAUUGGUGCAAAUUCUUCCUGGAAAUCUUGGUAAAGUUCAAAACUUUAGUUGCUGACUCAGUCCCCUCGUCACCAACCUGAUCAGGUCUUUUAGGUCACUGUGACCCAGCUUUGGUAGGUUACGUACAAAUCUGGGCACUUCUAAGUUUCUCAGGUUGCUGGCUCCAGCUGUUCACAAUAGGUCCUAAGGGGGUUCAGAUUUAGUGUUUUUACCUGGUUUGUGUUCCCUUUCUCUCUCUCCUCCUUCUUCUUCCUCUUCCUCUUCUUCUUCUUCUUCUUCUUUUUGAGACAGGGUCUCUCUAUGUGAUCCAGGUAAGACUUGAACUCAAGUGUAGUACAGGAUAAUCUGGAACUCACAGCAAUCCUGCCUCAGCCUCACAAGUGCUGGAAUUACAGGCAUGCGCCACCAACACCGGCACAUGCCCGUCUAGUUUUUUGAGUUGCAUCAUUAAAUUGGGUAUUUGAGCUCUUUUUUGUCUUUCUUUCUUUCUUUCCUUUUUUGGAGGUAGAUACUUACUGUUGUAAAGUCGUCUCAGUGUUGUUUUUGGUUGUGUCUAAUAGGUUUUGGUAUGAUGCAUUUCUACAUCAUUUGUUUCAAGAUAUUUAAAAAAUUUCUCUUUGGAUUUUGCCAUUGACUCGUUGGUUGUUAAGCAUGCAGCUUAGGAGCCACAGACUUAUGCAAUUUCUAAAGUUCUUGUAGAUUUCCAUUUUUAUUCCACUGUGAUUGGAGAAAAUAUAUGCUAGGAUUUCAAUUUUUUUUUUUUUUUACUCUGUUGAGACUCUAUUUUGUGGCCUAAUGUGUGGUCCGUCCUGGAGACUGUGCAGGGCUUGGGAGAAGAAUGUAUCUACUGCAGCUUAGGAAGAAACGCUCCAUGAGGAUGGGUCCAGAGUAUAACACCAGCAUUUCUUUGUGUGUCUUAAUGAGUUGUUCACUGGUGAAAGCUGAGUGCUGAAGUCCAUAGCUGUUAUUGCACUGGAGUUGAUCUCUCCCUUUAGAUUUGAUAAUGUUUUUCUUAUGCAACUAGAUAUUCCAGCAUUGAGGAGAUACAUAUAUUAUUGAAUUGAUCUCUUAAUUAUUCACCAGAUAGUAACCUCCUUCAGCUUUUUAAAAAUAAUUUUCAAUUUAAAAUCUAUUUUAUUGAAUGUAAGUACAGCUACUUGUGCUUGCUUUUCAUUUUUAUUUGUAUAAUGUUGUAUUUUCCCAACCCUUCAUUUUCAACCUAUACACAUCUCUGUCAGUGAAAUUACUUUCUUGUAGGACACUGUUGUGGCCCUUCUAGAUAUCCCCAAAGCCUCAUGAGGUCAUGGGUGGGGCUUUCUCAGAGGUGGCUGGAUCUAGAGUGUGUGACGCUGAAACUGAUUCAUGCAAUACUACAGUCAAGGACAUUAGCAUUAAGGGUGUGAGUGCUGCUGGCCCUGAAUGGUCUGGAUAAGAUAAAAUGGGCAGGAAGAUGCUGUCAAGGCCCUGCUGCUUUUGUUACUUUCUGGCCACCUUCAACUGUUCUCCUUGGUUAUGCUACCCUGUCUGGAGCCAGCCCAUGAUGAAUUGAAACUUCUACGACGUGUGAACCAAGUAAACCUUCCUUCCUUUAACUUUGGGUGGUGGGUAUUUUGUCUCAGCAAUGAGAAAAGAAGCUAAGACAGACACAAAUAAUUGUUCUUGGUUUUUAUUUUUUUUAAAUAAAUACAUCCAGUAUAAAUAUUUUAACUGGGGAGUUGAUCCAUUAUAUUUAAAGGUUUACUGGGGUCAUUUGUUAAAUUUUGGUGAUUUUGUAUAUCUUUGUUCCUUUCUCUCUUAUUGUUCAUCCUUAUGGUUUGGUGGUUUUCUGUAUCGAUAAAGUUGGAUUAUUUUUCUUUGUUUAUCUUCUCUCCUAAUGAAUACGGUGCUUUCACAUGUUUUCAUGAUGGUAGCUACCAUCCUUUGCUUCUCCGUGUAGGACUCCCAUAAGCAUUUUUUGGAAGAAUGCUCUAUUGGUCAAUUUUCUGUGUUUUGUGAAGUCUUUAUUUUUUAUUUUACUUCAUAAAGAUAGAUUUGCUGAGUGUAUGAUUUUUUUUCUUUCAGGCCUUGGAUGUACCACCAUUCUCUCCUAGCCUGAACAUUGCUGCUGAGAAAUCUAUUGUUAUUCUGAUGGGAAUUCUCAUAAAUGUAAUUUGAUGCUUUCUCUUGUUUUUAGAUUCUCUCUUCAUCUUUCACUUUUGAUAGUUUGACUAUUGCAUACCUCACAGUGGACUUUAUUUUGCACAAUCUAGUUGAGGUCCUUUGAGCUUUCUGGAUGUAGAUUCCUAUAUUUUAAGAUUUGGAAAGUUUUCAAAUAUUGUUUCUUUAAUAGGUUUCCUAAGACUUCUUUUAUCUUCUUUUUCUGGAACACUCAUAGUAUAAAAGUUUGUUUAUUCAAUUAUGUCUCAAAAGUCUUAUAGGAGUUCUUCAUUCUUUGAGUUUAUCUAUCUUUCUUUGCUUCUUUUAGUCUGAGUGGGUUAUUUCAAAAGACCCUUUUCUUGAUCUAGUCUGCUGUUGAGUUUCUCAACUGUAUAUUAUUUAUUGAGUUCUUCAGCUUCAAGAUCUUGGUUGGAUCUUUCUGUGGUCUCUAUCUCAUUGCUGAAUUUCUCACUGAAAUCAGGAAUAUUUUUCUAAUUUUAUGGAAUUGUCUACAUUGCCCUGCAUUUCACUGGGUCCUCUAAAAUCAUUAUUUUGAAUUAUUUUUCAGAAAGUUUUUUUGGUAUCUGUUGCUGGAUAGUUAUUGCUUCCUUUGAAGCCUUCAUGUUUCUUCUGUCUGUGUUGGUAUUCACCCCGCUGGCAGAUCCUUUGCUUCCAUCAGUUCACAGUGUGGCUUUGUGUGAAGGCUUUCUCCUGGUGAUGUGCUCUCGGACGCCCAUCGAGUUGGCUACCAGCUCUGCAUUAGGCAGGUGCGGUGGCGUAGUCUCAGCGCAGCCUCUCCAGCCAUCAUCCACACUGGCGAUCUCAGCGGAAGCCCCAGGGCUGAGGCUGCAGUUGAUGGCUCUCUUAUGCAGGGUGGGUUUGCAGGUGGCUCUGCUCAUAGCAUAGGAGGUUGUGGGAUGAUCAGUUAUUUCCAUAUGGUGCACAGGGUGAGCCACUCUGCAGAGGUAGUGUAGUAGCCCUGGUAGUGGGAGUGGGGUGUGCCUCAGUGUCCCUGGGCCAUGUGAGACCAGGCUGUACCCCCAGCCCAGGUGCGGCCUUGGUGUCCAGUGCUUUCUGGGACCAAGGUAGGAUGGUUGGGAUACUGGGACAUGCUGAGGAUACUGUUCCUCCUAUCUGCCCUGUUACUUUUCUAAUUUUUCCUUGGUACUUGAACACAGUUUUUUUGUUUUGUUUUGUUUUUGUUUUACCAUCUGCAUAGGCUGAGAGGUACACACACACAUAUGCACACACACACACGCGCACACACACACACACACACACACACACACACUCUCAGCUCUCUCAGCCUCAGUGCGCUGACACACCAAAGACUUUUCCUUGAGGCUGUUUUCUCUACUCUUCUUUCAGCUACCCAUAGAAACUAAAAAAAUGGAAGCCCUCAAUAUCAAUGGAAAAUCUGAAAAAUGUCUUCUGUGUGCCAGCUGGAUAGUCAUUUACAGGGAUAGGAAGUAAUUAAAAGAGCAAUGCUGAACUAAAAGUCUUAUCUAGCUCACAUGUGCAAACGUAAUUUUUUAAUUUUUUUUUUUUUUUUUGGUCUUUUUCCUUUUUAUCGGUACUGGGGAUCGAACUCAUGACUGCCUGCUUGCAAGGCUGGCACUUAUGCCACUGAGCUAAAUCCCCAGCUCCCAUGCAAACUUAAAUUUAAAAAAUAAUUGGAAUAUGGUCGAACAUUCCUUAUGGGCUGAUUACUAGAUUUUCUGAAUCGCCUCCUCUCUGUCAUUUGAGGGCUGCCUUCCUGAACCUUGCAUCCUGAAGAUCGAAUACUCAGCCAGCUGAUGCUUGCCAGAGACACAGCAGUCUCUUCCCAGCCCAUCCCGGCCGUAGUUUGGCAGGCCCCGGGUGUACUGCUCUCAGGAGGUGGAGGGUUCCCUGGUCCUCCACCAAUGUCCACAGCAACAGCUUCCAGGCAAGCUUGUGGGACGCUGCUCUGCAGCAGGCUUGUGUGACAAGUCCCCAACUGGAAGUAAGACUUUUUCAUUAUUGUAUUUGACGCUUUUCUAGAAUAUGUGUUGGACACAAGAUAGACUGUUUUACGUCAUCAGAUAAGGGUAGAAAUGUAUUAUGACCGCCCAAGCCCACCAUGGAAGAUAAUUCACGGCUUACUGUGGGGUCUUCUUUAAAUCCUAGCGUGGCAUGCAAACACUUAACUAUUGAAUGUCUAGUUACUUCUUAAUUCUGUCCUUGUGGAAAUAUUAACUAGCAUUAUGGUUGAUACAUUGUGUCAACUUGAGAAUUUUAGAAGUUUGACUGAGAGACUCAGCAGGGAGCCAGGAUCCUGACUUUGUAAGUAUCCUCAUUUUUUGUAAGAAGAGGGCACAGAGAUAUUUUGAGUGCUACAUUGCCCUGGAGUGGGGGGAGUGGCCUGUGUACGAUAUGAGGGAGGAAAGGAGGCUUGCUCUUCCCCCUUUUGCUAUGGCUGCUGCCUUGAAGUGUUGUCCUAGGACCAUGCCACCCUGCCUUGCAGCUGACUGAUUAUGGACUGAAACCUCCAAAGACUGUAAGCUAAAUAAACUUUUCCUUCCUUAAUUUUCAGCAACCAGAGAAAAGUAACCAAGACAGAAUUUGGUGCCAUGAGUGGAGUCAUUGCUAUGACUAUACCUGACCAUGUGGUCUAAGAGUCUUUGGGAAAGACUUGUGGGAAGUUAGAAAGGUUCAGAGAUGUCACCUGAAAGGACAGCUCAGGCUGUUCUGUAUGGCAAAUUCCACUCAGUGCUCAGAAGACCAGAAAACCUGUAAAGACCAGUGUCGGGAGGUUUCUGCUGGGAAGAAGGACUGCAUUAUGUGCUGGCCUCCAGAUGAUGUGUGUUAUGACUUGGCAGAAAGUUUGUCUACAUUUUGCUCAUGUCCAGAGACUUUGUCUGAGACUAAGAUGAAGAGUAGGGGACUAAUUAAUUUGGCCAAAAAAUUUCAAGGCAGUCAAAUGUUGAGGCUGUGGCAUGGCUAUUGUUGGGGGCUUUUAGGCAGAUUUAUGUUGUAAAUCAAGAGCAAAGAGCCCAGCAGGAUGACUUAAAACAUUGUGAGUUUGUGCAGAAAAAAACUCCAAUAAAGCUGUUUGCUUUGAGACAAAAGCCGAGAGCAUCGUGUUCAGAAUGGCAGCAGAGCUGCACCAGGUUCCAGAAUGGCAGCAGCAGAAUUUUUUCCCUCAAAAUUGUAUUCAGAGUGCCCAGUAAUCCAAGCACUUGACCCCUACAGCCAAAAGAGAGGAGAGCCUGGAUGCUGCUCUAGCUGGCAGCAGACCUUGGCAUCAUCUACAUGGUGCCGGUUAUGAGUGCAUACAGAAUACAGGAAUUUUGAAGUUAAAAAGGCUCCCACCCCAAUUUGAGAAGGCCUGGGAGUCCAGGCAGCAUGUCCCUCACAGGGCAGUGUGUGAAGCCAAAGGUGCAGUAGAGGUCCCAGAAAUUUGGAAAAGCCAAGAAUACGGAUCAUCUAAGGAAAGCAAAGCUGCAGGGAGAGCGCAAGGUGGGCUUAAGAGAGAAGCUGUGGGAGCUACAAGGACCAGAAGUGCGGUAGGGUAGAGUCACAUGAGCCAUUUGGAGCUCACAGUUUGCCACAGAUCGCUUCAGAUGCUGGACGCGUAGCCACAGGAUUUAACCUUUGCCCUGCUGGACUUUGGAUGUGCUUUGGUCCCAGUGCUUUGCAUCCCCGUUUGUACCUUUUGGAAUGGGAGUGUUUAUUUUUUGCCAUUGCAGGUUGGAAGUGUUUAAUUUUGUUUGCAUUUGUCCAGGGCCUUGCAGCUAAGAGUUUACCUUCCAUCUUUGAGGAGACAGAAUGUGAACUUUUCAGCAGUGCUGAAACUGUUAGGACUUUGGCAACUCCUGCAGAUGGACUAAAUGCCUUUUGUAUAAAGGGAUGUGUAUGAGUCUUUGCAGGGCCAGGGGCAGAAGGUCAUGAUUCUUAAUGCAAUAUAAUGUUGAUAGACAAUAUUGAUUUUUUUGUCUUUUUUGAGACAGGGUCUUUAUGCAGUUCAGGCUGGCCUUGAACUCACUUUGUAGCCCCGGCUGGUCUGGAAUUUGCAAUGAUCCUCCUGCCUCAGCCUCCCGAGUGCUGAAAUUACAGGUGUGAGCCACUAUGCCCGGCUUAAUAUUGAUUCUUAAGGAUUGUUAAACCUGUGUUCUAAUGUUCAAGUUGGGAAAUGCUAAAAAUAAACAUGCCCUUAUAUCUGGAGGCCUGUUUAAAGACAUAUGUCUGGUUACAAAUUGACAAGGGGUGGAUUGUUAUGGGUGAUACACUGUGUCAACCUGAGAAGUUUAAAAGUUUAACUGAGAGACUCAGCAGGGAGGGAGGAUCCUUACUUUGUAAACAUCCUCAGCCUGGGCCAGAGGAGGACACAGUCUGGGGAGGGGGUGGCUUCUGUAUGAUAUAGGACAGGAGCAGAGACUUGCUCUUCCCCCUUUUGCUCUGGCUGCUGUCUUGAAGUGCUACCCUGUGCCACCUUGCCUUGCAGCCAGCUGAUUAUAGACUGAAACCUCCAAAAACUGUAAGCUACUAGUUUCUCUGAUUUAAAAAUAUAAACUCAUUUUCAUUCCUAUAUAUUUCCUAAAAUAAAUGGACAUUUGGGUUAUAACUCCUCCAUCAUUCAGACACUGACAAAGAAUAAAACAAAAUCGAAAUGAAAUAAGUAUACAUGGAAUGCUGUUAUGGGUUGGGAAGCAGAGAAUUGUGGGUUUCAGCUACAGACUUGGGACAAUCCGCCUCUACAUUAGUUUUAUCUCUCUUCUCUCUGGAUUUCCAAAGCCAUUAUUUACAAGCUGUCAAACUUUCGGGCUCAAGUAAUUUGUACAGAAAAUGCAGGGAAAGCAUUUUAUCUGUGUGUUCCUUGUCUAUUCACAGUUGCCACUCGACUCCAGAAGAACUCUUUUCUGCUUGUACAAAACAAAGAUUAAAACAGCUUCAAUUCCAUCUCUGAUGUAGAGAGAAAGAGGAUGCGGUUUGAGGUUAGCAAGGCUGGGGUUCAGAUCAUAGUUAUGGUGGUUUAGAUUCAUGUGUCUCCCCAAACUCUGAAGUGCUGGGAGGUAUUGAAUGGGCCAUGGCAGUGCUACACUCCUCAAUGGACUCAUCUGUCAGUAGACUCCACUGUCUGAUGUAGUGUCGGGAGAUGGAGACCAUGGGAUCAGGUGGUCCCUGGGGCACCGCCUGGUCAGAGAUGGCCAUCCAUAGAGUGUGGCCUGAUGGGAGGAGGCGGGGCCAAUGGGAAGAGGUGGUCCCUGGGGAGUGGCCUGGGAGGGUGCAUCUCUCUCUGCAGCUCUUCCAUCCCUGCUGGCUGGCUGCCAGGGAUUGGGCAGCUCUCCUCUCCUCACCAUGCCAUCUGCUAGGAGGUGCCAACCAGACGUGGACUGAGACUUCUGACAUGGUGAGCCAUGAUGAAGCUCUCUUGUUUCCUUGUGGGUGUCAGGCAUUGUCCUCAGGAUGGAAAAGUAACUAAGAUGAUAGCUUUGCUCUUGACUGCUAUGUUCUACUUAAGUUACUCUGUGUUUCUAGGGCACCAUCUCCUUGCAUUUACACUGUGUGGAACAGUUGCUAUGGGCAUUAGAUCGGUUAAUAUUUGAAGCUCUGUUACUUGGAAAAUUUUUUUUCUUUUUUCUUUUUUCCGGUACCGGGGAUCGAACUCAUGACCGCCUGCUUGCAAGGCAGGUACUUAUGCCGCUGAGCUAAAUCCCCAGCCCCACUUGGAAAAUUUUUAAAAGAUCUUUGGGAGAUUUUUUCUAAGUAAAAAUCUUCAGGAGUACAGCUUUAUCUACACUCAAGUUUCUCACCCAGGAGCCAGCCACUUCCAGGAAUGGCAGACAAGGUAAUUUGUAGGAACUCUCUCAUCGUGGAUUGCCCAAGAAGCUGGACACAUGUAAAAUACAUAACUCAGUAUUUUAAAGCAUCAACACGAAACUAGCUAGAAGCCAGCUAUAAAUCAAUGAGGAAGUAAAGCUGUUCCGUGAGAUUUCUUUGUGGGGAAUCUCUCCAGAACCUGCCAAGAAGCAGCUGGACACUAGCUGUCUCCAGGUGAUCAGACCCAGGGGUGCCUCCCUUUACCCAGCCAAAGACCUUCAAACAUUACAACAUCAGCAUCUCGUAGAACACUAUUCUCUGAAAAGGAAUGUGCAGUCGUGAACAAAUGAUGACAAUUAAAGCCUGCUCACAGGAGCCCUAGAACUCUCCCUUCUCACCACCCUGUUACCGUACAGCUUUCUCUUCUCCCUUCCAAUAAAUCUCCUCACUGCUCCAUCGGGAGCCUGCCACCUGUUUGUCACUAAGCCUUCCAGAAAGCUCUGCUCUUUAUGCUGAAACCCAGGACCAACACAGAGACUUAGCAACACUAUGCUUCAAUCAACCAUCAAAAAGUUUAGAGAUGUAGUUCAAUGUGAGGCAAUGUGAAAGCCCUGGGUUCAAUUUCCAGUAAUGGGGAAAAUUUUGUUAAAUUCACAAGAAAAAAUAUAAUAACGAUUAAAAACUCACUGGAUAGGUUUAAGAUGGAUUAGAUACAACUAAAGAGAGAAUUAGUGAACAGGAGAUACUUUGCAAGCAUGUCCAAAAUUCAUCACAGAGACAAGAGGCAAAGAGCAGUAAAGAUGAGAGCCAUAAAUCACACAGUGCAAACAUUUAACAUUUGAUCAAUUACAGUCAGAAAACCAGAAACAGGAGAUGAUCUCAUUAAAAAGUAGACUGACAAUUUCCAGAAUAUCCAAGAAUAGUCUGAAGAAACAAAACCCAUUCCCAGUGGGCUAAAGAAAAGAACAUUCACAAAUGGGUACAGCCCAAUGAAACUGCUGGGAAGCAGAAGUAGAUCCACCUUCCAGGGGGCUGAUGGCUCCUACCACUAUACAGUGCUUCCAGGCAGCACUGGCAAAGGUGGGCACAGGCUCUCAGGGGAUGUCACCCUCAGUCAUGGUGACCACCAAUGUCUCUGAUGCUGAGAGCACCUGCAGACCUGGUCUUUACCAUCAUGUUGGUGAAAAUGGACAUUAUCAGAGUCUUGAGGAAAUAAUAUGGUUUACCAAAUCCAAAAUCCUUCUUGGCCUAGUCUCUAUCUAGAUGUCACCAAAGCCUCACGCACUCCUAAGAGGGCUUGGGAGGUGCCGGGAUCAUGGGUGUGUGACCCUCAUAGCAGACUGGUCCACCAGGGAGUUUACAGCUGAAGGUGACACUGGGAGGCGGAGCCUGUGAAGGAGGUGGUUGCUGGGGCAUAGGCUAGAAGGGUCUCUGUCGCUCUUUCUUCCUUGAUCUGUGUGCUUCUUGUCCACCAGGCCACAGGCUGUUUCUCCUCUGCGAGGCCUCUCUGAAUGCUGCUGUGGGAGCCAGUCAUGGACUGAAACCUCUACAGACUGUGAGCCAAAAUAAACCUCUCCUUAGAGGUGUGGGUGUUGGGUAUUGUGUCUCAGAGAUGAGAAAGUAACUAAGACAUGUAAGAAUAUUACAUGCUUUUCCAGUCGACUUUAACUAAAAUUUGUGAUAUAAUAACAUUAAAGAAAAUUGGAGAAUAAAGGGAAAAAUUAAACAUAA